UAUUUUUUUAUGUAUUUUGACUUUUUGCCCAUUUUAAGUACAUAAGCUCUUUUUUUCCCCCUCCGGACAGGGGAGACCGCCUCUCGUUCUCGGUUCAGUGGGUUUUUCCUCGUUGUUGUGCGUUAGAGGUGACUGAUUGAGGAAUUUUUCGGAUGUUGAUGCAUCUUUGUAUUGGUUCUGUGUAUUGUUUUUCUUCUUUUAUUGGUUGUAGUGUGGUGGUUGCAAAUCUAAUGAGCUUAAAGGAAUGAACCUUCAUUGAUCUACGUUUUUUGAGAGGUAUGCAUGGCCAUUUGAACGAUUGAGUAGAUUUGACCAGAGGGAGAUCUGUUGUUGGAGUGAGGAGGUAGCAUCCCUAGGGUUUAAAGAGUUCGGUUGAAGAGAGUGUCGCAGCCCUAGUUAAACGAGGUUGAGAUGCCGAUCAGGGUCCUGCUCUUUCGUUUUCUUCCUUCUAAGUAGUUGAGCCUCUAUCUGCUAGUGAAAGUUGCUUAAUUGAGCGAUACCCGACGGGGCAACAUGGGUGACUGUUGAUCAGAUUCUUAGCUGCGGGUUCUCCACUUGUUAGGAUACCUGAUUUAGGUUGGGAUCUGAAUUGGGCCUAUUUAGUAUUUUACAAGCCUAUAUUAUUUUUAUGAAUUAUGGUUAGAAUUAUUUUGUGUAGUGCCAUAGGAUCUUUUUAAACAUUGUAUUUCUCAA